rnacentral:rRNA from 1 species
AUGGCUCCUCCCGCGCCGCCGGCGAGCGGCGCGCAGCACCAGUUCCCCGACACGGCGCUGCCCUACGCCGACGACGUCAAGUGGCUCGUCCCCGACCACCUCGCCACGCUCGCCGAGGCCUUCCCCUCGCUCCGCCCCAGGACCGCCCUCUUCACCCACGACGACGGCCGCGCCGCGCGCCUGCUCCAGGCCGCCGGCACCAUCCCGAUCGCCCACGCGGGGGGCUCCUAUGACCUCCCCGCCGUCGUCUGGCUACCGGAGCGCUACCCGCGGUGCCCGCCCCUCGUCUUCCUCUCGCCGGCCCGCGGCACGGUCCUCAGAACCGACCACCCCCUCGUCGACCGUUCGGGCCUCGUCGCCGCCGCCGACGCCCCGUAUCUCCGCUCCUGGGCGUUCCCGUCUUCCAACCUGCGGGACCUCGUCCGGUCCCUCUCCCACGCCUUCGGCAUCGACCCGCCCCUCCUCCCCGCCGAGGUCGCCUACAGGCGCGACGCCCUCGCCGCCAUGGCCUGCGCCGACGUGGCCGCCCUGCACGCCGCGAGCGAGGCCGAGGUCGAAGCGCUGUUCGCCGUGCAGGCCGAGCUGCGCGGGCGGGGCAAGGCGGCGGACGGCCUGGUGCGCCGGGCCGGGGAGGAGGUGGACGCGCUGGAGCGCCGGCUGCAGGACGUGACGGUGGCCGCGUACGCCCUGGAGGCCUGGGUCGCGGCGAACCGGACGACGGUGGCCGCGCACGGCGACGCGCAGGCGGGGGCGGCAGUUCAGCCCGCGGACGCGCUCUCGGUGCAGCGGCUCGAGUGCGCGGCCAUGGAUCUGGCGCUGGAGGACACCAUGUACGCGCUGGACGAGGCGGUGCAGCACGGGACCGUGCCGUUCAGCGGCUACCUCCGGAGCGUGCGCGCGCUGGCGCGGGAGCAGUUCUUCGAGCGUGCUCUCUGGACCAAACUUUGCUAG